UCCNGAUCUAGUGCCGAAUGACUAUGUCC
rnacentral:piRNA from 1 species